UUCAAUUCAGCCUUCUUCUCUGUUAUUCAAUUUGUAGACUAUGUUUUGUGCCUUUGGCUAUGUUUGCCCACAUUGGGGCGUUCCCUCAAGUUUCUGUGUUUUACUGUGGUGGAGGAUGUUUAAGGGUUUAGUGGUGUUGGGUUGUUUCAAAGGCGUGCUUUAGUUGUUGGGAAUUGAUUGCACGGCUCUGGGGAAUGGGCAAAAUAAGUUCAACUUCUUGGACUUGUGUUUGUUUUUUAGGUGCUUUUUGGAUCAUUUUGCAUUUCACACAAUUACAUUAAUAUCAAGUAAAUAGAGCCAUAUUUGAAAAUAGGAAAAGCCAAUGGAUUUCUGGGCUGCUACAACCCAGAAAUCUAUGUCACCUUCUUUUGUUCCUGAAAUUUGAUCUGAUAUGGAUCUGCUGGUGGACUUCUGCAUUGGUUAUGGCUGACCUUGCAGUAUGCUGGCCUAACUUUGUUGUAUAGUUUCUACACGCAUUUGUUAUCAAAAUUCUGUUUGAUAACAAAAUAGUUUGGUGUUUGGCUACUUACAUUUGGAACUCUUCCACAACCCCCACCUUCUUGUUAAGUGAUGAGAACAGCUCAAAAAGAUUUCUGACUUUCAAAUAUAUGUUUAUCCUCUUUCAGUUUUUUGUUUUGCCCAGUACUCUAUGUAUCAAAUGUCUUUUUGCUAAAUGGGAUGCCGAGUUUAAUUUUGAAGCUUGGGUUUUAAAUAUUAUGGCUUCUUAAUGCAUGUAUCUGUUGGUGUACAAAUAUUUUAUUUUUAGUUCUUGUACACACACAACCACAUAUCCCUGAGAAAAGGAUUUAUUGUUAGUAAGGUAGAUAUUAUAGUGAGCUCAUAAGUUGUUGUUGUUGUCUUGUGUGCUUCGGUUUCUUCAGAGUUUUGUGAUGGCUCUUUCCAUCCUUCUUAAUUUGUUUAUUUCACUUAUUUAGACGGCUUCUUAUUUUGGUGUUUUUGUUGCCUGUCUUCUAGUGAACCCCUUGUUCCCUGCCUCCUAAUUUUCUCCACUCUCAGUAAAAAAAAUUUGUUUCUCAUAUACAAAAGAUUAAAAAUUAAAUAAUCAACCAAUCACAUUUUUCAUUAUCUAUAUAUGCUUUGAUUUUACUUUUGGUUUGAUUUGAGCAACUUUUGAGUUUUGUUCUAUUUGACCAAGUUCAGAACAUGAAGAUAAUGGGCCAUUCUGAUUCGAGAGACAUCAUUGUUUUCCUCAAUGCCCUUUUUUUUUCCUAAGAAUCCUUGAUGCCCAAUUUUUUCCCUGCAGUAAUUGCUCUUUAUUCCAGUACUCUGAAAAAAUAUAAAAUAAAUAAAUAAACAGAGUUGACUUCAUAUGGUUGCCAAAUUCCCCUUAGUUCAUUUUGAUCUUGUCAUCGUAAUAGUAGUUGAAAUACUUUUGCAGUGUUAUCAAAGCAGUGUAAAAUAGUACAGUCAUCAGGUAUGUGAAACCUUUGGUGACCUGAGACUUUUUGAUGUGAAGUCAGUUGAAUUAUUUUUAAAAAGUCCACUUACUAAGCACCCUAUAAUUAAGAGUUUGUCCUUCAUUAUGUAAUAAAUGCAAUUCACAAAUAAAUUAUUGGUUAUUGUUUUUUGAUUUUCUUUAUGUCGUGUGUUAAGUGUCAUAGUUUUAGUCAUUCAAAAUCCUUUAGUGCAAGAGUUCUGAGUGUUUCGAUGAUUAUCAAUGGCUCCAAGUGCUACUUUGUAACUUGCAAGUUCUGAAAGAUGAGUUAUUAGUGAAAAAUCCUGAGACCUUCUGCUUGUUUUUGUAACAUGGGUUGACUUGGAGCCAUUCCAAGACAUCUUUGGUGGGUAGCCGGAGUUUUUCUAAUUUCUCAGUGAUUUCUAGAAGUCUAGAACUCUAUGUUGUGAACCUGGCAACUAACUCUCGCGGGCAUUGUUAGUCAGCUGCCAGAUUGAGACAGCUUAUCAUCCAUUAUCUAUUGCAGUUUGUGAAGAUCAAAAAAUGCACUGCAUCAAAAUCAAAAUGGAAGCUGAGUUGUCCAAUUAAUGGAAGAGAUUGGAGUAAACGAUGAUCAAAUUAUAUAAUCAUAGCUGUUGGGGGUCAUUGAUUUAAAACUCUUCUGGGACAGCGGAAUUCAAGGAGGUUGGAGCAAAACAUAAUUCUGCUUCGUAGAGCUGCACUUUAUGCCAAGGAACUUUUCCAGUGUCUUUCAAUAAUGUUUGGAGACAAGUAGCGAAAGUUGAUGACAGAAAGUUGUAGGCAGAAUGGCAGCUCUUAUCUUACCGAAGGGAACCAUUUUUCAGCAGAGGUUUUGCUAUCUUGAAGCAGUAGCUGAUUCUUUGGAGUUAUAUACUGAUCCUAUGGCUUCAAGUGCACAUCAUUGAAAAUUUGAUGUGGCUUGUUUAUGAGCAGGAGCUUGGUACCAAAAGGAAUCCAAAUUUUAUUCUCCAUUCAAACCACUAUUGAAACAUAUGUCAGUUUGCGAAUGUUGCUAGCCCUUAUGCUUGGAUUCUUAGGGUAAUUCAGAUGUUAUCCUUGAACCCUUGAUGGUUAUCCAUGUGAAGUGACUUUCAAAUCGCAGUAUGAUUAUUCACAUCUCUUAUGUUGUCGGCGGUUAAUUUUAGUCCCCAGAUUUUGAUUUCUUAUUUUGUUAACAACAGCUAUAUCACCAUUGUCUAUAAAGCCCUGGCCUUGUUUUGUCAAAUACAGUUCACACAUCACGGACUCACAGUAGAGAAUUAGUGCAGGUCUUUUAUUAGAUGAAUAAUUUUCUUUCUCAGCCAAAUCAUAAUUACACGUACUGGAGUUAAUCCAUGUGCAACUAUGGAUAGUUUUUUCUUUAAAUCGUAUAGCAGUCUUGGAAGCACAUGGCAGAAUUUCAGAAAGAUCACAGAGGAACCAUUUGGCGUUGGAUCAUUAAAGCACUGUCAAUGAAGAAGGAACACCAGUUUAAAAGUCUCUUGCCUCCACUAUUUCAGCUGGAGCAUUUGGGGAAUUUGCUGAAACAAUUUUCCUCCAAGUGGUUCAUUCUAAGGCUGUUUGCAGCAUGUUGUCAAUUUUCUGAGUGGUUACCGGAGACUUCCACCAUGGAUGUUGGCUGCUAGAGUAGUAUAGUGGGAAAGCAAAUCCAUGGACUCAAGGUUUGAAUUCUAUUUGAUACUAAUGUAAGAGUUCAAACGUUUCGGCUCUGAUGAUGCAGUGGCCCUAUAAGGAACCAAAGCUAGAGUGGGGUAUGUGUAGAGUUAGAGAAGACAGUGGAAUUAAAAGGGUUGUGUGUUUUGGUGGAGUUCAGUUAAUAUGGAACGAACCAAUAACCAGAUUGGACUAGGAAAUUGCAAUUUUCAUCAUUGUAAGGAAAAUAUGAAGCCGUUGUAUGGAAGUGGUUUUGCUGACUUGUUAAAUUGUGUUGAUUAUUUGGGGUUGCAAGCUCUUCUUCCAUGAUGAGGAAAUGCACAGUGUGAAAGAAAGAGUCCAAAUUUGAAGGGGUCAGACACCUCCCUUGAUUUACAGGUACGUUUUGCUUAUUUAGUUAAUAGAUAGGAGGGUUCUUUGACCUUCUCAGGUAGAUGUAUCAUCAAACAAUAAAACAAAGGACAGGAGCAGAUCGGUCAUCAGAAAUAUACCAAACAAAAUUAAAUGCAAUAAGAUUACAGUAAGAAGAGGGCAACAAUAGCCCUCUGAAGAAUAUCUAAUAAAAUAGUAAUAAACAAACUAUGUUCUUCCUGUACUACUAGGAUUAGAAGUUAUAACCUAUCUCUACACCAAAUAAUUUGAAUUUUGUGCAAGGUUCCGUCCUCGUUGUCUGAUCUAUUGGCUGGUUAGACAAGUUGUUGUUGUUGUUGGUUAUAUUCAUCAUCACAUUACUUUGCUUUCGCAUUAGCUUUUUGUUAGUAACAGAAAGCAGCUUCUGCUUCUCCUUUGAUUCUUGGCAUAAUGCACUGUACUUUCUCUUGUUUCCAUUCCAUUCAGACAAUGGCAGUGGUGAUUUGUUGUUCUUUCGCAGUCUACAAAUCACAUAAUCUGAUUUAGCAUCUAGAAGACUAUACUCAUCCAAAUACCAAUGACCGUGGUGUUUGGAACAUUUGCUCUCGUAUCGCAGUUUCCUCCUCCGCCCAAUAUGUUUUUGCCAUUCCUCAUCUUUAAUCAAUUUGGAGGCAUCUGUUUCGCUCCAAGUCCCACUUGAUCCAAUCUUGCGGAGAAUGCGUGAGCCGUUGAGGCUUGCCUUCUUGAGCUUUGUGAAAAAGAACAAGUUUUGGUUGCACAACUCAUGUCCCCUAUACAUGUCCCAAAUCUCCCAAGGUUCUGUGGUUCCAAAAAGAUCAAACUCGCACACAAUGUUUUUGUAACUGUAUAAUGAUGCUUCCUCUGUCAGCUUGUUGUAGAGGAAGUAACUGAUCAACUCUUGAUCCGUGGGGUGGAACCUGAACCCUACAGGUAUGUAACUCAUUGGCAAUGCACUAGAUUCUUGGCACAAUAAUAUCUCCUUCCUCUUCUUUCGUGUCUUGAUGUUCUGUCGGAGCCGGCAAAGUACAUAAUUUGCAGAGUUAGUAAGAAGAAGACUAUACUCUUCCAAAUACCAAGAACCAUUGUGGUCAGACCCUUUAUUCUCAUAUCGAAAUUUCCUUUUUUGUCCAAUAGGUUUCUGCUUAUGCUUUGGAUCAAAAAUAAGUUUGCCAGGUUCUCCUUCACUCCAAGUACCACCAGAUCCAACCUUGCGAUGAAUGCGUAAACCAUCGGGGUUUACCGUCUUGUGCUGUGUAAAAAAGAACAUAUCCUGGUCAUACAGUUCCGAUCCCCCAUACGUUUCCCAAAUCUGCCAUGGUUCUACAUCACCAUAAAGGUCAAGCUCGGGCAUAAUUUUGUUGUAAUUGUAUGUAGCCAUUGAUGGCACUUCUGCCAUUGUGCCGACAUUGUUCUUGUUGUAGAGGAAAUAACUGAUCAGUUCUUCAUCAGUUGGGUGGAACCUGAAACCCACCAGAACAGAAGGCAUUAACGUAUUAUUGCCUGUAGAGCAACAAACCGUUUU